AAAAGAUGAUGGCUUUGUACUAUAUUUCCUUGUGAGAUGUAAGAUGCACUUUGAGAUGCAGUAGCAAGGUGGGAGGCUGUGCAUGGUCAGUGGGAGCUGGUCGAGGCUUAGGUUCGAGUUUGCAUUAUCUGGUGCAAAGCUAUUGGAUGAUGGAAAAUGAAGAUGAUGGUUACUGAGUUCUACUUCCGACUGAAGGCUGAUCAUGCAGAUCUGAUUCCUCGACUUUUCAAGACUCAAGGAUGAGUUUUUCUAAGCUAGGGAUAACUGGUGCAUAUCAUAGAGAAAAGAAAGAAUGUUUACGAUUCUGGUACAAAACCUGCAAAUCUGGUUUUAAGAUCUCCUAGAAUAUCUAAUUUAAAGAUCAGCUAUAAGACUACAAGAAGAUUGCAUAGAGAAUAUUCAGCUGGAUAUUCCAGCAGCCUUUUAGGCAACCAUGGGUUCUUAUUUAGUAGUUUCUUUUAUAGUAAAUCCUAGCUACCAGGUAGCCUAACAAAUAAGUACUUUAGUUACUAUUUUACAAUUAGUAGUUACUUUUUAUUUUGGUGACUCUUUCUUAGAUAUAAAGAGUUACUAAUAUUGUAAGGGACCCUCCUACCAUAAUAGAGAUUUCCUAUUUUGUUUCA